UCUGGUGAUGAUUGCGAAAAGGAACCACCCGUAACCAUUCCGAACACGGAAGUUAAGCUUUUCAGCGCUGAUGGUACUUGGGCAUUGGCCCCGGGAGAGUAGGACGUUGCCAGAA
rnacentral:rRNA from 1 species